rnacentral:rRNA from 1 species
AACGAACGCUGGCGGCAUGCCUAACACAUGCAAGUCGAACGAAACCUUCGUGUUUAGUGGCGCACGGGUACGUAACGGGUGGGAACCUGCCCUUAGGUUCGGAAUAUCUCCCAGAAAGGGGUGCUAAUACCGGAUAAUGUCUUCGAACCAAGGAUUUAUCGCCUUUGGCUGGGCGGGAGUUGGAUUCGAUAGUUGGUAGGCUAAAAGCCUACCAAGGGGGCGUUACACAGCUGGUCUGAGAGGAUGGGCAGCCACACCGGGAGUGGGAUACGGCCCGGACUCUUACGGGAGGGAGCAGUGGGGAAUAUUGGACAGUGGGGGGAGGCAUGAUGCAGCAAUGUCGGGAGAGUUAUGUAGGCCUUAGGGAUGGAAAGCUCUUUUACACGGGAUGAUAAUGACAGUACCGGGAGAAUAAGCUCCGGCUAACUCCGUG